GCGUUGUCCGGAAUUAUUGGGCGUAAAGAGCUUGUAGGUGGCUCGUUGCGUCGGGAGUGAAAACCUGCGGCUUAACCGCAGGCCUGCUUCCGAUACGGGCGAGCUAGAGUUCGGCAGGGGAGACUGGAAUUCCUGGUGUAGCGGUGGAAUGCGCAGAUAUCAGGAGGAACACCGGUGGCGAAGGCGGGUCUCUGGGCCACAACUGACGCUGAGCUGCGAAAGCUAGGGGAGCAAACAGG
rnacentral:rRNA from 1 species